GCCGCGCCCCGGGCACCCCAGGGCCCCUAGAGACACCCCCAGGUACGGCCCAGGUGUUCCCAGGGUUCUACAGGUGUUCCUCAGGUACCCCCAGGUGUUCCCCAGGUGUUCCUCAGGUACCCCCAGGUGUUCCCAGGGUUCCUGCAGGUGUUCCCCAGGUACCCCCAGGGUUCCUACAGACCCUGCAGCUGUUCCUCAGGUGUUCCCCAGGUGUUCCUCAGGUACCCCCAGGUGUUCCCAGGGUUCCUGCAGGUGUUCCCCAGGUACCCCCAGGGUUCCUACAGACGCUGCAGGUGUUCCCCAGGUGUUCCCCAGGUACCCCCAGGUGUUCCCCAGGUACCCCCAGUUGUUCCCCAGGUACCCCCAGGGUUCCUACAGACCCUGCAGGUGUUCCUCAGGUGUUCCUCAGGUACCCCCAGGUGUUCCCCAGGUACCCCCAGGGUUCCUACAGACCCUGCAGGUGUUCCCCAGGGCUCUUACAGACCCCCCAGGUACCCCCAGGUACCACUCAGGGCUCCCCCAGACACCCAAGGGACACCCCAGGUGCUUGGGGACACCCCUAUGGCACCUCGAGACACCACAGGGACACCCCUGGGACACCCCGAGGCACCUCAGGGUGCUCAGGGACACCCUGGGACACCCCAAGGCACCUGUAGGGACCCCAGGGCACCCCCGGAGCACCCAGAGCCCCCCGAGCCCCCCACGGCACCUUCGGACCCCCGGGGUCACCCCGGGUGCUUGGGGACACCCCCAGGACCCCCCUAACGAGGGCACUAACGAGGCAGCGCUAACGAGGGGUCCCACGGCCACCCCCCCGCCCCUCCCCCGCUAAUGCCCCCCUAAAGGCCACAUAAACCCCCCGAGGGCCACCCCCACCCCCAGUGACACCAUGGCCAGGGCUGGGGACAUCAGCAGGGGCGUCACGGCUGUGGGGACACCGAUGGUCACACCGUGGUCACGGCGUGGUGGCACCAGUGGUGACAUGGUGGUGGCACUGGUGGUGACACUGUGGCCACACCAACGCGGUGCCGACGGUGACACCCACGGGCGCACACCCCGAUGGCGCUGACGGUGACGCCACCGUCCCACCAUGGUGACAUUCAUGGUGACACCGUGAUCCCGUCACGUUUGACACUGAUGGUGACACCGAUGGCGCCACCAGUGAUGAGGUCACGGUCCCACCAUGGUGACAUUGGCGGUGACAGCAAUGGCCAGGCCAGUCCCACCAUGGUGACAUUAAUGGUGACACCGUGGUCCCGUCAUGGUUGACACCGAUGGCACCACCAGUGAUGAGGUCACGGUCCCACCAUGGUGACAUUGACAAUGACGCCAAUGGCCAGGCCAGUCCCAUCAUGGUGACGCUGAUGGUGACACCAAUGGCAAGGCCACAGUCCCACCAUGGUGACAGUGACACCAUUGGUGCCAGUAAUGAUGGUCCCACCAUGGUGACAUUGAUGGUGACACCAAUGGCCAGACCAUGGUUCCACCAUGGUGACACUGAUGGUGGCACCAAUGGCAAAACCACAGUCCCAUCAUGGUGACAUUGAUGGUGACACCAAGAAUUCCACUAAUGGUGACACCGUGCUCCCAUCUUGGUGACACUAAUGAUGCCACUAAUGAUGAGGCCACAGUCCCACCAUGGUGACGCUGAUGGUGACACCAAUGGCAAA